rnacentral:tRNA from 1 species
GGGGUUGUGGCUCAGUGGUAGAGCGCUUGCCUUGAAUGUGAGAGGCACUGGGAUCGAUUCUCGGCACCA